GGAGUCGGCCGGACAGUCGCGUCAUCCCUCGCGGAUGCCGAGGAAAGUCCGGGCUCCUCAGGGCACGGUGCCAGGUAACGCCUGGGCGGCGCGAGCCGACGGAAAGUGCAACAGAAAGAUACCGCCGAACGGUUCUACGGAAUGCGUGGCAAGGGUGAAAUGGUGCGGUAAGAGCGCACCGCGAGCCUGGCAACAGGCCGGCACGGCAAACCCCACCGGGAGCAAGACCAAAUAGGGAGGCUAUGCCGCGGCCCGCGGUGUCUCCGGGUAGGUUGCUUGAGCGUAGCGGCGACGCUGCGCCUAGAGGAAUGACUGUCCUCGACAGAACCCGGCUUACAGGCCGGCUCCGCCG
rnacentral:RNase_P_RNA from 1 species